UUAGCGCGAAGUUGAAAUAACUCAGAAGAAAGGUUUCUUUCAGCUCUUCAGACAUCAACUAUCAAUAAUAACCAACAUAAAAGAUUUCGCCAGCUCUAAAGGAACAACAUCAUGACAACCAUCAAUGAGUUUGCACUACUACUGGGUCUAAGGCCGAAGCAAUAUGUAUCCAAUGCUACUCUGACCCGUCGAAAUCCCCCAGGAGAACCAAGCCAACAUCAUUAUGAUCGAGAAACAAGAACAGAAGAACAUAGGUCUACUAUUUGUUCAAUAAAACAUCCCCCUGCUGAACAAUCAAAAGAUAUUUCCCUGC